rnacentral:rRNA from 1 species
GAUGAACGCUGGCGGCGUGCCUAAUACAUGCAAGUCGAGCGAACAGACGAGGAGCUUGCUCCUCUGACGUUAGCGGCGGACGGGUGAGUAACACGUGGAUAACCUACCUAUAAGACUGGGAUAACUUCGGGAAACCGGAGCUAAUACCGGAUAAUAUAUUGAACCGCAUGGUUCAAUAGUGAAAGACGGUUUUGCUGUCACUUAUAGAUGGAUCCGCGCCGCAUUAGCUAGUUGGUAAGGUAACGGCUUACCAAGGCAACGAUGCGUAGCCGACCUGAGAGGGUGAUCGGCCACACUGGAACUGAAACACGGUCCAGCCUCCAACGGGAGGCAGCAGUAGGGAAUUUUCCGCAAUGGGCGAAAGCUUGACGGAGAAACGCCGGGGGGGUGAAGAAGGGUUUCGGAUCGUAAAACCUUGUUAUUAGGGAAAAAAAAAUGUUAAAGUAACUAUGCCCGUUUGGACGGUACCUAAGAAGAAAGCCCCGGUAAACUACGU